AUACGGAGGAUCCGAGCGUUAUCCGGAUUUAUUGGGUUUAAAGGGUGCGCAGGCGGCCAUUUAAGUCAGCGGUUAAAUCGUGGGGCUCAACCCCAUUCUGCCGUUGAUACUGGGUGGCUUGAUUGCGGUCGAGGUUGGCGGAAUUCGUUGUGUAGCGGUGAAAUGCAUAGAUAUGACGAAGAACACCGAUUGCGUAGGCAGCUGACCAGACCGCAAAUGACGCUCAUGCACGAAAGUGCGGGGAUCGAACAGGAUUAGAUACCCUGGUAGUCCGCACAGUAAACGAUGAAUACUUGUUUUCGGCGAUAUAAUGUCGGAGGCAAAGCGAAAGCGAUAAGUAUUCCACCUGGGGAGUACGCCGUCAACGGUGAAACUCAAAUGAAUUGACGGGG
rnacentral:rRNA from 1 species